rnacentral:rRNA from 1 species
CCUACGGGGGGCAGCAGUAGGGAAUCUUCCACAAUGGGCGCAAGCCUGAUGGAGCAACGCCGCGUGUGUGAUGAAGGGUUUCGGCUCGUAAAGCACUGUUGUAAGAGAAGAAUGACAUUGAGAGUAACUGUUCAGUGUGUGACGGUAUCUUACCAGAAAGGGACGGCUAAAUACGUGCCAGCAGCCGCGGUAAUACGUAUGUCCCAAGCGUUAUCCGGAUUUAUUGGGCGUAAAGCGAGCGCAGACGGUUAUUUAAGUCU